rnacentral:rRNA from 1 species
CGGCCGCAGUACCCUGACUGUGCUAAGGUAGCAUAAUAAUUUGGCUUUUAAUUGGAGUCUGGAAUAAACGAAUUAAUGGGGAGAGACUGUCUCUUACUUAUUAGGUGAAAAUUCCUAAAAUCAACCAUUAGACGAGAAGACCCUUAGAAUUAUUUUUUGUUGGGGCAACACUGUCAGACAAUAUCUGACUUAGGGUAGUAAAGUGAACUUAAUUACCUAAGGGAUAACAGCAUAAUAUUUCUUUUUGAUUGUGACCUCGAUGUUGGACUAGGAAAUCCGCCCACUAG